CUAAGAUCAUAAUUGUACUCCACAUCGGACUGGCCAAAUAUUGCUGAGCCUCUAAAUGCUAUUGGCUUAGACACACCUCUCUCUUAAGGAACUCAGAAUCCAAUAGGAUUCCAUUGCAAAGUUUAGAGUCUGCAUUCUCAUGCUUUAAACUUUGCAAUAACAUCAUGUAGUGAUACUAGUGUGAGAGUUAUCAAAUUUAAGACAUUUGAGUCAUUGUUCAGCAGAAUUUUUUUAGCAUUUUUAACAUUGUUUAGCAAAAUUUUCAGA
rnacentral:lncRNA from 1 species